AGAAUUUCUAUUGGAUAGUAUGGUUAAGGGAAGAUAUCUAAGUAAGUAUGAAACUUGAGCUUCAGAUAAUGAUAUAGUAAAUAAUAAGUUUUGAGGAGAGUGAAACAAUAUAAGUGGAGGUUUUAAUAUCGAAAUGGUGUUGUGGUUUAAGUUGAGUGGUUCACUUUGGAAUAGUGGAGAGUGAACUUCUUAGAAGAAGAAUCUUUAUUUUAGUUUUGGAUGAAACUUUAGUUUCUACCAAGAUAGAAUUAUAGUAUAAGCAUGACUAAUCUUUUGAUAUAAUUUUAAUGGUAUAGAAACAGUUUGUGUGGUAUAUAGAAAAAAAACAUAUCAGCCUAUACAUAAAUUGUCCCACCUUGAGUUGGAUUUCUACUAGUGUAAGUAAGAUUGAUUUUUUGGAUUUAUCGAUUCUUAGAUUAUAUACCGAGUUUAGGAAGAAAAAAAAGAAGAAGUUGGAGAUUGAAAAAUAUUGAUCGGAUUAUGAAUUUUGAUUUAGAUAUUAGAAAUUUUCAAUACAUAGAAUUGUGAUUAAUUUUGCAAGUGUAGAAUGAACUUGUGUGGCAUCUAAGUUUGAAAAUUUAGCUUUAUAUAACAAAGAUAAUAAAGUUGAAAGUAUAAUGAUUGGACU
rnacentral:lncRNA from 1 species